CCCAAAUGAAAACUUUUCAACAAAGCGAGAUUCCGCUUUCAGUAUUUUUGAAUUUGAGGUCACAAUUUCGUUGUGUCAAUUGGGAAAUGUGUCAGGUUGCGUUCUAGUUUUUUGUUUUGAUUCAACAAAUAUUUCAGAUUAUGGGUGGGGGUUGAAAACAAGAAAGGCAAAAUAUUUCAGAUGAGGAAGAAUUGCAGAAUGAAUAGGUCGAAAGUAUACAUAUUCAUAUGUGAGUAUGGAAUUUCCACUCUAACUAGGAAAGAUUAAUUUAUAAUCUUCAAUAUUCCAUACAUGUCGUGUCUAAUAACCUAGACCUGAUAGACGCAAUUGGAUCUUUAUGAUAAGCAGACUUAAAAAUGAAAAGCCUUUGUUUUGCACACAAAAAUGAAAUCAUUUAGUUGGUUUGUGUAUUAAAAAUAGGUAACGCCAGAAAAUGUGUUUGAAUUCACUUUAUUUUACACUUCCCUUAGGAGAUUAAUUUCACUUAACAUUAUUAUUUCUAUACAGAAAACGGAAAGCUGAAGAUCAUCCAUUCAGUUCACUAUUAACACAGUCAUUCAAAGUAUUAGUGAUGUUAGAUAUGGCAUUGUCAAUAUCAGCUUUGGUGCUGUCUAUGCAUGAUCUAGCUGCUUCUACUGCAUUUUCGAUUAAUGUCCUAGCAUCGGAGUUCAAUGAGUUGACAUCAUUUUCAAUACGUUCUAAUCCUUGACCCAAACAGGUUCUCAAGGUAGCAGCAUUUUGAAUACCUGUCAUGCAUUUGGGUAUCAAAGUACCAAGUUGACGAGGUAUCACAGAGAUUUUUGGCAUGAGUUUCUGAACGUUGAUGAGCUCGUUGCUCAAACCACACUUCUGAAGAGCAUCUAUAGUCAAAGUGGACACUGUGGAUCUGGCAGCAGAAACGCAGUCAUCAACGUUCUGGUUCAGUUCUUCAGCCCUUG